GCUGAGUAUAGCUCAGUUGAUAGAGUACUUGCCUUCCAUGCACAAAGCCCUGGGGUUCAAUCCCCAGCUCCGCA
rnacentral:tRNA from 1 species